AGAGUUUGAUCCUGGCUCAGAACGAACGCUGGCGGCGUGGAUAAGACAUGCAAGUCGAACGCUUAUUCCUCGGUAGCAAUAUUGAGGAGUAGGAGUGGCGCAAGGGUGCGUAACACGUGGAUCAUCUGCCUGGAAGUUCGGAAUAAUUCGGCGAAAGCCGGACUAAUGCCGGAUGUGGUUGGAAGACUAAAGUUGGGGACCGCAAGGCCUGACGCUUCCAGAUGAGUCCGCGGCCUAUCAGCUAGUUGGCGGGGUAACGGCCCACCAAGGCUAAGACGGGUAGCUGGUCUGAGAGGACGACCAGCCUCACUGGAACUGAGACACGGUCCAGACACCUACGGGUGGCAGCAGUCGAGAAUUUUUCUCAAUGGGGGAAACCCUGAAGGAGCGACGCCGCGUGGGGGAUGAAGGGCUUCGGCCCGUAAACCCCUGUCAUUUGCGAACAAAUGUCAUGGUUGAACAUUCCAUGGCUUGAUUGUAGCGAAAGAGGAAGGGACGGCUAACUCUGUGCCAGCAGCCGCGGUAAUACAGAGGUCCCGAGCGUUGUUCGGAUUCACUGGGCGUAAAGGGUGCGCAGGUGGGUUUGCAAGUUUGAUGUGAAAGCCCCGGGCUUAACCCGGGAAUGGCAUUGAAUACUGCAGAUCUGGAGGAUUGGAGGGGGGACUGGAAUUCUUGGUGUAGCAGUGAAAUGCGUAGAUAUCAAGAGGAACACCAGUGGCGAAGGCGAGUCCCUGGACAAUACCUGACACUGAGGCACGAAAGCCAAGGGAGCAAACGGAUUAGAUACCCNNGUAGUCC
rnacentral:rRNA from 1 species